rnacentral:rRNA from 1 species
ACUCCUACGGGAGGCAGCAGUGAGGAAUAUUGGUCAAUGGAGGCAACUCUGAACCAGCCAUGCCGCGUGCAGGAAGACUGCCCUAUGGGUUGUAAACUGCUUUUAUACAGGAAGAAACAGUCGUACGAGUACGACCUUGACGGUACUGUAAGAAUAAGCACCGGCUAACUCCGUGCCAGCAGCCGCGGUAAUACGGAGGGGUGCAAGCGUUAUCCGGAAUCAUUGGGUUUAAAGGGUCCGCAGGCGGUCAAUUAAGUCAGAGGUGAAAUCCCAUAGCUUAACUAUGGAACUGCCUUUGAUACUGGUUGACUUGAGUUAUACGGAAGUAGAUAGAAUAAGUAGUGUAGCGGUGAAAUGCAUAGAUAUUACUUAGAAUACCGAUUGCGAAGGCAGUCUACUACGUGUAUACUGACGCUCAUGGACGAAAGCGUGGGGAGCGAACAGGAUUAGAUAC